CAGUAGCCGCGGGAAUACGUAGGUGGCAAGCGUUGUCCGGAAUUAUUGGGCGUAAAGGGUGCGUAGGCGGUUUGAUAAGUCUUGUGUGAAAUCUAUGGGCUCAACCCAUAGUCUGCGUAGGAAACUGUCGGGCUUGAGAGUGGGAGAGGUGAGUGGAAUUUCCGGUGUAGCGGUGAAAUGCGUAGAUAUCGGAAGGAACACCUGUGGCGAAAGCGGCUCACUGGACCAUUUCUGACGCUGAUGCACGAAAGCUAGGGGAGCAAACAGGAUUAGAUACCCCAGUAGUCCCUGUCUCUUAUAA
rnacentral:rRNA from 1 species